CGUGUAGGCGGCCGGGCAAGUCAGAUGUGAAAGCCCUUGGCUUAACCAAGGAAGUGCAUUUGAAACUGCCCGGCUUGAGUACGGGAGGGGGAAGUGGAAUUCCCGGUGUAGAGGUGAAAUUCGUAGAUAUCGGGAGGAACACCGGUGGCGAAGGCGGCUUCCUGGACCGAUACUGACGCUGAGACGCGAAAGCGUGGGGAGCAAACAGGAUUAGAUACCCUGGUAGUCCACGCCGUAAACGUUGGGCACUAGGUGUUGCGGGUAUUGACCCCUGCAGUGCCGAAGCUAACGCAUUAAGUGCCCCGCCUGGGGAGUACGGUCGCAAGGCUAAAA
rnacentral:rRNA from 1 species